GGCGGAGUCAGGAUACUUUCUCUUUACUAAUUCACAAGGUCUGUCUCUGAGUUCAGUACCAAGCAUAAUGUCUAGCAAAAAGCCAGUGUUCACUACAUGUUUGUUCCCUCAGUGAGUGUGACACUUCUGUCGGAGGUCCCAGUUCAUAAUGACAUUUGUUUUUAACUAGGUGCUUGUAGCAUUGUGCAAAAAUGAGGCCUAGGAGCUUCUUGAAAAAUUCUGUCAGGAAGAAGACUAAACAAGAGAAAAGCUGGCACCGGAAACUUACCUGAUCACCUUACUCAUCUGAGGCCUGGGCUCUCUACAUUGUAAAAUCUCCGUUAGGAUGAACACAGUGCUCUCCUCACAGUGGGCCUGGAAAUUCACAUUCUUGCACAAUUAGCAAGCUCCCACAUGGUUAGUGAAUGUGAAUCACAGAACCAAGCCUGCACCCAUUCUGAUUCUCUAAGGGGCAAUAGUACAGUGAAGGGAAGCCUCCAGAAGCUAGCACAGAAGCCCUUCUGCCCUGAGUCCAAAGGGACAGUCACACCCACAUAGAGCUGCAGAGAAGAAAAGCACAAUUCAGGAAGCACUUCAGAGUGAAGAUGGGCUGGCAAAGGAAGCUGGGGGAGGAACUAUGGUAAAAAGAAAGAGUUUUUCUCAGCAGACCUGGUGGGAAUCAUGCUGACUCCAAACACUCCUGGAAAUAAAGCUUGAACCAGCAGAAAGAAAAGCCAGUCAAAAGCCUGACUUGCCAUCUUCUUCAACAAUGCUGCUUUCCACAGCACACAUAUCAGGUGACACAGCAUGACGUAAUGCCAGGAGUAUGGACUUUUCCAUCUUUCACACGUGGGUGCAGAUCCUGAUUCCAUCAUCAGUAAUUAUGUGAACAGAAGAAAGAUGACGUAUCUUCUCUGAGGCUGUUUUCUCAUCUACAAAAUGAGAUAAUAACAGCACCUGUCUACUUGGCUAUGAAGUGAGUCUUUGAAAUCACACAGGAAAAGUCUAGAAACCUUGCUAAAAACUCAUCACUUCUUCUCAGCAUGGACAUUUGCUCACCCUGAUCCCAUCUUCCUCCACUUUCCAUCACUACCUCGGCAAGGCCCAGGCACACCACUUCCUCUGUCACCGAGGUCCGAGAUCCCCCCAGCA
rnacentral:lncRNA from 1 species